UGCAGUCGACGAUGAAGCCCUUCGGGGUGGAUUAGUGGCGAACGGGUGAGUAACACGUGGGCAAUCUGCCCUUCACUCUGGGACAAGCCCUGGAAACGGGGUCUAAUACCGGAUAACACCGGCCUCUGCAUGGGGGCUGGUUAAAAGCUCCGGCGGUGAAGGAUGAGCCCGCGGCCUAUCAGCUUGUUGGUGGGGUAAUGGCCUACCAAGGCGACGACGGGUAGCCGGCCUGAGAGGGCGACCGGCCACACUGGGACUGAGACACGGCCCAGACUCCUACGGGAGGCAGCAGUGGGGAAUAUUGCACAAUGGGCGAAAGCCUGAUGCAGCGACGCCGCGUGAGGGAUGACGGCCUUCGGGUUGUAAACCUCUUUCAGCAGGGAAGAAGCGAAAGUGACGGUACCUGCAGAAGAAGCGCCGGCUAACUACGUGCCAGCAGCCGCGGUAAUACGUAGGGCGCAAGCGUUGUCCGGAAUUAUUGGGCGUAAAGAGCUCGUAGGCGGCUUGUCACGUCGGGUGUGAAAGCCCGGGGCUUAACCCCGGGUCUGCAUCCGAUACGGGCAGGCUAGAGUGUGGUAGGGGAGAUCGGAAUUCCUGGUGUAGCGGUGAAAUGCGCAGAUAUCAGGAGGAACACCGGUGGCGAAGGCGGAUCUCUGGGCCAUUACUGACGCUGAGGAGCGAAAGCGUGGGGAGCGAACAGGAUUAGAUACCCUGGUAGUCCACGCCGUAAACGUUGGGAACUAGGUGUUGGCGACAUUCCACGUCGUCGGUGCCGCAGCUAACGCAUUAAGUUCCCCGCCUGGGGAGUACGGCCGCAAGGCUAAAACUCAAAGGAAUUGAC
rnacentral:rRNA from 1 species